GAGAAAAGGUGUGUGUAUUGGUUGGGCUGCCCGUACCGCAAACCGACACAGGUAGAUGAGGAGAAGAUCCUAAGGCCAUCGGGAGAAGGGUUGUUAAGGAACUAGGCAAAUUGACCCCGUAACUUCGGGAGAAGGGGUGCCUACGAGAGUAGGCCGCAGAGAAUCGGCCCAAGCAACUGUUUACCAAAAACACAGGUCUCUGCUAAAUCGAAAGAUGACGUAUAGGGGCUGACGCCUGCCCGGUGCUGGAAGGUUAAGAGGAGGACUUAGCGGAAACGCGAAGGCCCGAAUUGAAGCCCCAGUAAACGGCGGCCGUAACAAUAACGGUCCUAAGGUAGCGAAAUUCCUUGUCAGGUAAGUUCUGACCCGCACGAAAGGCGUAAUGAUUUGGGCACUGUCUCAACAGCCCGCCCGGCGAAAUUGUAGUACCGGUGAAGAUGCCGGUUACCCGCAACUAGACGGAAAGACCCCAUGGAGCUUUACUGCAGCUUAAUACUGAGAUUCGGUAAAUCAUGUACAGGAUAGGUGGGAGACUAAGAAGCCAGGCCGUCAGGUUUGGUGGAGUCACCCUUGGGAUACCACCCUUGGUUUGCUGGGUUUCUAACCUGCGGCCCUGAAUCGGGUCGGGGGACACUGUUAGGCGGGCAGUUUGACUGGGGCGGUCGCCUCCUAAAAUGUAACGGAGGCGCUCAAAGGUUGGCUCAGCAUGGAUGGAAACCAUGCAAUGAGUGUAAACGUAUAAGCCAGCCUGACUGCGAGACCGACGGGUCGAGCAGAGACGAAAGUCGGAGUUAGUGAUCCGGUGGUAUGUGAGUGGAAAUGCCAUCGCUCAACGGAUAAAAGCUACCCUGGGGAUAACAGGCUGAUCUCCCCCAAGCGUCCACAGCGACGGGGAGGUUUGGCACCUCGAUGUCGGCUCGUCGCAUCCUGGGGCUGAAUUAGGUCCCAAGGGUUUGGCUGUUCGCCAAUUAAAGCGGCACGCGAGCUGGGUUCAGAACGUCGUGAGACAGUUCGGUCCCUAUCUGUUGCGGGCGUAGGAGAUUUGAAGGGAGCUGACCUUAGUACGAGAGGACCGGGUUGGACGUACCUCUGGUGUACCAGUUGUUCUGCCAAGGGCAUGGCUGGGUAGCUACGUACGGACGAGAUAAACGCUGAAGGCAUCUAAGCGUGAAACUCUCCCUGAGAUAAGAUCUCCACUGAGGCUCGACGUAGACUAUGUCGUUGAUAGGUCAGAGGUGAAAGUGCAGCAAUGCAUGCAGCUGACUGAUACUAAUAAGCCGAAAGCUUGACCU
rnacentral:rRNA from 1 species